UAGACCGGAAACAGAACUAACAGUCAUUGGCAAAACGAAAAUAGAGUCUCGAAAUUUCGAUUGUUUUGAAAAAAAAGAAAGCAAUUAAUGGUUAUUGUGAACGUCACAGAAUUUACUUUGUUUUGUUUGGUUUAUAUCGGGAGAGGACCAGACCAAGCCAGAUUUCCAUCAAUCUUCUCGUUGUCCCAGGGUUCCCAUCGUGGUUGAACGUUAAGUACACGGACGACCCAGCCCUUUAUGCUUUGGAACUUGCCAAGGACUACCAGGCCGGAGAAGUGGAAAUUACGUAUAAGUUGAUUUAGUCGUAGGGUUUCUGUCUUGGUCCUGACACAGACUGUCGGUCCAUCUAUUUGGUUCCACGUCCGAGACACAAGACUAUCUACGUUUGAUAUUUGGCUCAUCGUCCCAGACACAAGACUAUCUACGUUUGGUAUUUGGCUCAUCGUCAGAGACAUAAGACUAUCUACGUUUGAUAUUUGGCUCAUCGUCCGAAACACAAGACUAUCUACGUUUGAUAUUAGGUUCCACGUCCCAGACACCAACCAUCUAUGUUUUAUAUUUGGUUCCACAUCCAAGAUACAGAUACAGACUGUCUAUGUUCGAUAUUUGGUGCCAUGUCCAUGACGCAAACCUCCAUUCGCUAGAUAUUAGGUUCCACGUACAAGACGCAAACCAUUUAUGUUUUAUAUUUGGUUCCACAUCCAAGAUACAGAUACAGACUGUCUAUGUUCGAUAUUUGGUGCCAGGUCCAUGACGCAAACCUCCAUACGCUAGAUAUUAGGUUUCACGUACAAGACGCAAACUUCUCUUCACUUUUUUGGUUGGUUCCUAUGACACUAUGCUAUAAAUCCAUAGAUGGAGAUUUGUAUGCUCCUUCUUUGAAGAAGAGGGGGUAUAUUGGUUUUUGCCUUUCUGUCUGUCAUUCUGUCUGUCUGUCAUGUGCCAAAACUUUAACCUUGCUCAUAACUUUUGCAAUAUUGAAAAUAGCAACUUCAUAUUUGGCAUGCAUGUGUGGAGCAUGCACAUUUUGAGUGGUGACAGGUCAAGGUCAUCCUUCAAGGUCAAAGGUCAAGUAUAUGGCUUCAAAGCGCAGUAGGGGGUAUUGUGUUUCUGACAAACACAGCUCUUGUUUAUAUUAUAUUAAUAUUUAAAAUCAAAUAAGCUGUAAGUUAUUUAAACCUCUUCAUUCAUUAUCUCGUCUGAAAAGGAUUAAAAUUAAUAUGUGAUCACAUUUUGUCUUUCAAGCCUUAAAGAAAUUGAGUUGAUUAACUUUACAGUUGCCAUGUUAUUUAUCCAUUUUUAUAAUAGCUCUAAUGCAAUUGAAUGUUUCAUACAUGUUGUUAUUUGCAGUUUAAGAAACAUGCAUCAGUAUGUAUGUGUAAUGUGCUUUUUUACUGGAUAUAAUUUGCUCAAUUCAUUAUAAAAAAUUGAAGUACAUCAAUGUCUUGAUGAUUUUUAGCUCGGAUGUUUUCUGAAAAAACCCGAGGUGUUGUCAUAGCCAACUCGUCGUGUCGUGUCCGUCGUCGUCCGCUUUAUCGACGCUUGCUUGACUGUCCCACUAUUAGAGUUUAUCUUGAAGCCGAAUGAGCACUUUAUAUCGGGCUGGGGAAUGCCGUCAAAGCUAGCGAAAAUCGCACGAAACUUGACAAUCAUGAAAUGGGUCUUAAAUGCCUGGUGACCACGUGAAUGACAUUGUUCCUUGGUCAUUUGGCAUCAAGCUUUUGAACUUAAGGGUGACAUACAGCGCUAGAAAAUACUAGUUAAAGGCAUAAAUUCAAUUAUAGAAAUAACAAGUUAAAAAUUGUAGAGCAAUGGAUAGAUUAAGUAGGUGCGUUUAUAGAAAAAAGCUUUAUUGACUAUGAAGCGGAAGUAACUUAACACGACCCAGCUAUUGUUGUUGUAUAUGCAGCACGCUAAGCAGUCGGUAGAACGAAUUAAACAUGACUGAAACACAAGCAAGACGGAUUUGCUGAACGUUAAACACGCGCUGAUUGUCGUAUUGACAUAUAUGAUAACACAUAUCAAAAGGCUUUGAACAAUGCCAAACAUAUUUGCUCCAAACUAUAAUUAAUUAUGAUUGAAAAUAUGCCCCGUGUAUCAUUGUUGUUUUUCAUGUGCAUAUUCGUUCUUUUUAUUGAAGAAUAGGUGCAGACAUUUGGUAACGAACAUAUCAAAGACGGGAUCUCUCAUUUAUCCGUCAACAACGUCAUACCAUACGCAAACAAGAGUGCCAAACUGUCGAGAGAUACGCCCGUUUAAAGGUUUUGGACACCAUGCUAAAUGCUUGAAAUGCACUAAGUGACCUAGUGACCUAUUUUUUGACCCGGCAUGACCCAUAUUUGAACUUGACCUAGAUAUCAUUUAGACACACCUUCUGACCAAAUUGGGUGAAGAUCGGAAGAAAACUACUUCAAUAAGAGAGCGGACACCAUGCAAAAUCCUUGAAAUGCAUAAAGUGAGCCCGUGACCUUGUUUUUUGAUCCGGCAUGACCAUAUUCAAACUUGACCUAGAUAUUGUCUAGAUACAACUUCUGAACAAAUUUGGUGAAGAUCGGAUGAAAAAUACUUCAAUUACGGAGCGGAAACCAUGCUUAAUGCUUGAAAUGCACUAAGUGACCAAGUGGCCUAGUUUUUGACUCGGCAUGAUCCAUAUUUUAACUUGACCUAGAUAUCAUUAAGACACAACUUCUGACCAAAUUUGGUGAAAUCGGAUGAAAACUACUUCAAUUAUUGAGGACACCAUGCAAAAUCCUUGAAAUGCACUAAGUGACCCCGUGAUCUAGUUCUUGACCCGACAUGACCCAUAUUCGAUCUUGACCUAGAUAUUGUCUAGAUACAACUUCUGACCAAAUUUGGUGAAGAUCGGAUGAAAACUACUUCAAUUACAGAACGGACACCAUUCUGAUUGCUUGAAAUGCACUAAGUGAACUCGUUACCUAGUUUUUGACCGAGCAUGACCCAUAUUUAAACUUGACCUAGAUAUCAUUUAGACACAGUCGGACCAAAUUUGGUGAAGAUCGGAUGAAAACUACUUCAAUUAGAGAGCGGACUCCAUGCUAAAUCCGUGAAAUGCACUAAGUGACCCCGUGACCUAGUUUUUGAUUCGGCAUGACCCAUAAUCAAACCUGACCUAGAUAUUGUCUAGAUACACAUUCUGACAAAAUUUGGUAAAGAUCGGAUGAAAACUAUUUGAGUUAGAGAGUGGACACUGCUGUGGACGCCGCCGCCGCAGCCCGCCCGCCCGCCCGCCAAGGGUGAAACUAUAAUACGUCCCAUUAUUUCAAAACGUGCGUGUAAUAAAAAUGAAUCUAAACUAUAAACGGUGUCUCCGAAAGACUCAUAUAGUAGUAAAAGCCAGUACAAUGUGUAAGCUUUAUAAUUGGAACUGAACAUUCUGGUUACACACAUUUGAUUUGAAAGUCUUGCUUUCCUGUACAUAUCCCAAUAGAUAUUGUUCCCUUAUACAUACCAUUCCAAAAUAAAUAUCUUCGAGCAUUAUUUUUUAAAGUAAGCAACAUUCCAGAACCAGGUCCACAGUUUAAAUUCAAAGGAUUUUUUGUGUGUCGAACGUUGAAUUGAGACCAACACAAUAUUGUUAGUGUUUGCAUAGCAUUAUCACAGCUCUGAUAUCCAUAUCAGUAUGAUGAUCAAAGCUGUGACAGUAAUUUAAGGUAUUGAAGCUACAAUAAAUGACACUGUAAUUGUUAUAAUGAGGUACUUUCAAGAAUAACCUUCAAAUAUUUAAUUUGAAGCCAAUAUCAUUCAACAACAAUUAGAAUCCCAUGCACAUGCUUUUCUAAUAUUGUUGUGUCAUAGAUGCACCUUAAAAUGAACACGAGUCAGAUUAAAACACUUCAGUAUAAUUCUGAAGACCUUAUUUUGUGUAUGCACCUUUCUUUUUUCGUAAACUUUUUUUUAUCAUAAACUUAUUCCUCGUUUUGUUUUCAAUGUGGAUGUUUUCCUUUUUUACAUUGUUUCUAUCUAUAAUUGACAUUGCACAUAUGCUUACAUUAAUUGUGUUGUGAAACGGAAUAUGUUUUAUGUUACGUUCUUAAGAUAAAUGUUAAAUGGAGAAUAGAAAGCUGGCGUGUAUGUGCAUAGUAACAUGACAUUUCUCACUCUUGUAAUGGCUAUUGUACUUCCUUAAUGAAAUGAAGACAACCUGCGGCAAUAUAUGUAAAAGUUUAAUCAGAUUGCAUAUAUAUUAUGUCAUGUGUAUGAUCUCUGCCAAAAUGUUUGAUUAAAAUUUCACUUUAAUGAAAAUAUAAAAUUUAAAACAUGGCAAUUAAAUUACCUAUUUCGUAAAUUAUGUUGAGUGUAUGGUAUGGUUAGUUAAUUAAUGCAUGCUACAUAUAUUGGUCGUUUAGAAGAAGAUAAGAUUACUUGUCUUAUUGUAAAACUAAUGUUAAUUUUAUAUUUGUUUGCCAUUAUGGACAUACAGCCCUCACCUGUUCAGCUUUUGUCGAAGAUUUUACGUGCUAAUUUAUUUUUUCUUCAUUUGAUACAUUUUUAAACUUGGCCUAUGUAUGGUCAAGAUAAACAUUUAGACUAAAGUUCAUCAAAAACAAGGUUACAAAGGCAAUUCGAAUGUUUUUGUAUUAUUAUUGAUCUAGUGAUCUAGUUUUUGUACCCGUUUGACCCAAAUUCGGAUUAGGCUUGUGUAUUGCCAAAAAAUACUUUCUGACAAAGUUAUAUCAACAUGUAAUAAAACAUGCCGCAUA